CUCCACCAUGGGCACUCGCCCCUAGCACCUCAGCCCUCACCACCACGGCCACCAAAGCCUUCCAACUCCCCUCCACGUCCCUACCCUGGCCGCGAUCUGUGCCCACCUCACCACGGCGGUUCCCUGCCAUGUUCCUGCCGCCGGACCUUGCACCUCCAACAGCAGCAGCACGCAGUCCACAUCCCCAUCGCCGGCUUCCUCCGUUGCUCUAUCUACCAUCUUUCCCUUGCAAUCAAGCUUCCUCUUGGUUGUAUAUGUGGUAAAUACGCAGGUCUGCUAAGGGUUGUGGUCUGGAUUAGGAAAAAAAAUAGGGUUCCUUGCAUAUCGAGAGCCUUGCAAAAAUUUGGGAAAAAAUAUUUGAUUUCUCAAAUUAAGACCUUGCAAAUUGAAGUGCUUGUUGUUCUUUGAUGCAUAUUGAGAGCUGCUGCACUUGGAUGCUAGAGUAUUUGCAAGUCGUUGCCUACGUGUGUUUGGAGGGCCAACAUUUGUGUUCUGAAGUUCUUACGGCCUCUGAAAUUGCUUAUGCAACGGCAAUCCUCUUCUACAAAAGGGAAGGGCCAUGCAAAUUGAAAUGAAUAUUGUUGUUUAUUGGAUAAGUUGUGAGCUAUUGCACCUAGAGGAUGGUCUACCUGCGAGUUUCUGGAUAGUAAUCUGAGCCUUGUGUUCUGAAGUUCGAGCUUGCUCUCAAAAUUAUUUUCUACAACAGCAACAUUCCUCUUCUGCAAAAGGAAAGACACAAAUGGAAUAACUAUUGAUUUGACUGCAGGGUGUCUACGGUAUGGUUGCAUUCUUAUUAUUUCAAUCCUCUAUCAUUGUUUUCAGUUUUGACUCUUCACCUGUGUGUCAUUGUGGCAAUCUUUUGAUGUAUUACUCAUUCUUGUUAAUUCAGGAAAAUUAAUGGUAGUGGCACAUAGAAGAGAAGGAAGACAAUCAGAAAAUGAUUACAAGCUGCAGCCUGUCAGUGGUCAUUUUUUUUGUACCAGGCUGUCGAGCUUCUUUUGCAAAAGAUUGCAAAGUUGUACGGAUUGGCUAUUGCAAGACUCCCAUUAGCCACACCAUUUGUGUACAUGAUUCAUAGAAACUCACAAGAAUGUUUCCUUUUGUGUUUGGAUGGUCGAUAGAUGGCACCUUUUGUGUGUCAACAACUAUUGAAUGACACAUCUUUUGUUUACUGUUGUUCGAUGUACAUUGCACUUUAUUUUCCAUGGAUGAUCUGUCACAGUUUAUUGUUUUCAUAGUUUA